rnacentral:lncRNA from 1 species
CCCCAUCUACAGCUCCAGUGAAAGCUCCCGCUAAGCCCAAAUCACCAGCUCCCGCCGCUGUUCCAGCAGCUGCUCCGUCUAAACAGGCUGUCCCCGCUCCGGCAGCAGCUCCCACAUCGACUCCUCCGGCGGCUACUCCAGUGAGUUCGCCUCCAGCUCCGGUUCCAGAAGCGAAAUCACCUCCAGCACCUACUCCUAAAGCUGCGCCGGAGACUUCACCAGCGGCUCCAUUGGCUUCGCCCCCGAAAGCCGAGGUGCCUGCGCCGGCUCACAGCAAGAAGAAGUCAAAGAAGCACCAUGCCCCAGCUCCUUCCCCGGCUUUGUUGGGC